rnacentral:rRNA from 1 species
GUAAUGCCGGAUGCUCCAGUUGAUCGCAUGGUCUUCUGGGAAAGCUUUCGCGGUAUGGGAUGGGGUCGCGUCCUAUCAGCUUGACGGCGGGGUAACGGCCCACCGUGGCUUCGACGGGUAGCCGGCCUGAGAGGGCGACCGGCCACAUUGGGACUGAGAUACGGCCCAGACUCCUACGGGAGGCAGCAGUGGGGAAUAUUGCACAAUGGGCGCAAGCCUGAUGCAGCGACGCCGCGUGAGGGAUGGAGGCCUUCGGGUUGUAAACCUCUUUUAUCGGGGAGCAAGCGAGAGUGAGUUUACCCGUUGAAUAAGCACCGGCUAACUACGUGCCAGCAGCCGCGGUAAUACGUAGGGUGCAAGCGUUAUCCGGAAUUAUUGGGCGUAAAGGGCUCGUAGGCGGUUCGUCGCGUCCGGUGUGAAAGUCCAUCGCUUAACGGUGGAUCCGCGCCGGGUACGGGCGGGCUUGAGUGCGGUAGGGGAGACUGGAAUUCCCGGUGUAACGGUGGAAUGUGUAGAUAUCGGAAAAGAA